rnacentral:lncRNA from 10 species
GGACUGGAGGCAGGACAGGUCUGGGUCAAGCCCUCCCCGGGGAGCUCGGCCAGGCCACUACCCAGAAAGGAGAGGCUGCUCCAACAGCAAUUCACCGGGAGUGGGGAAGCGGAGACCAGACUGUAGGGGCCAUAGGAAUGGGGGGUCAGAAGCCAGGAUGUCGCUGACUCAAGGCCUGAUACCACUAGAGCGCCAUCUCCGGGCCACAGGACGCCGCCCAGGCCCUCAGCCCGCAGCCCUGCAGAGCCAUCGUUAGCACCGCAGGUUCUACUCUGAAAGCCCAGCCUCCUCCUUGGCCCAACUGACACCUGGGAGGAGCCCCAGAUCUUUAGGGCCCUCAGCGACCCAACUGCCCAUGAAGACCCCCCAGAUCUUUGGGGCCAUGAGCGGCCCAACCACCCGCUCAACAGCUAAAGAUGGAGCCUGAGGCAUCUGGAAGUUUCCACAGUCCUCGCCCUCCCAGACAGGAUUUGGAAUGAACCUUUGGGGCUUACUAAGUUUCUUGCCAAGUGGACAGGAUUAGGGUAAUGUAAAAUGCCCUCAGAGUGACCCCGGCCUACGGACAGCCACCAGCCGCCAGGCCCACCCAGCCAACCGUCCCCUUCUCGGCCCAACCGACACCCAGGGAGAGGCUCCGAGGCCAGCCCGGCCCACCGCCCACCCGUUGGGUGGUGGAAGGUGGAGCCUCGGGCAGCCUGGAAAUUUCAGCGGUCUUCACCCUCCCAAACCAGAUUAGGAUCCUUCAAGACCGAGCAGCCGUCACUACCCACCUGGCCAACCGUCACCGAGGUUCUGACAGGAGCAGGGAGCCGACGGUGAAGGCGAAGCCGCGCCCCCUGAUUGGCCAGCUUCUCCGCCUGCGGCAUCCUGGGAGUUGUAGUCCCAGGCAAGGCCCCUACGGAGAAGGUUCUGGAUGCCGGGUUACAACUGACUCGCGCGGCCACGUUGGCGGAAAAAGCACUGACAUUCCUUACCCCCAGUGUGCCAGGCUUUUGCAACCCUUAUCUGCAUUUGAGUCGCACAGGAUAGCGGUAGCGUUAAGUGCAGACUCUGGAAUGAAGCCACUUGGGUUUGAAUCCUAUUCUAUCACCUGCUUAGUUGUAUAGAUGCAGAUAAGCGAUUAACUAUUCAGAGUGCAGAUGUCCUCACCUAUCGUAUGGAACGAUAAUAACUGCCUUCCAGUGUUAGUUUGAGGGUUAAGUGAGAUAAUUCAUCAGAGGUGCUUGGCAGAUACCAAGUGCUCCAUAACUGUUAGCUAUUAUUUUUCCUAUAACAUUUUAUAGGAAUGAUAAUAGUAAAGAGUAGCAUGAAUAAAGAGAUGAGUUGAGA